UGCUUUUCUGAAAGUGUUCUCGCGUUUUUGUCCUGCUCUGUUUAAGCCAUGUGUGGCGGAAGCCGUCUCAGUCCGAGAAGCAUUGUCGUGGCUUAAGGUUGAAGGCUUUGAUAGAGGUUUUUACUGCUCUUUAGUCUCGGAUCUUAGAUUUUUUAGCGCUGGGAAUUCUGAUUGAUGAUUGCCGAAUCCUGCUGGCUCAAUUUCAAGACGUGACCUUCCGUUGGGUGUGUCGAAG
rnacentral:lncRNA from 1 species